GGGUUAGUUGACAGGUCCAAGAAUUUCAGAAAAAACUCCAGUAUUUCGUUAUCUAGAUCCAAUAUUAUGAAAAUAUGUAGAGCUAAAUAAAAAUGCGACCUCUCUCUAUGUCAAAAAAGAAGAGAAUGGCCGUUCUUAGUUCGUGGAUAUGAUUUGUCUGGUUGAUUCCGAUAACGAGCGAGACUUUUAUGUUAUAUUAAAUAAUAUUAUUUUAAAUUUUAUUUAAUAAUAUAUAUUUUAAUAACAGAUUAAUAGUGUUUAACUAUUUGAGAGAGAGCAAUAACAGGUCUGUGAUGCCCUUAGAUGUCCGGGGCUGCACGCGCGCUACAAUGUAGUGAUCAUUAUGUUCCUGUUUAGAGAUAAAUGGGUAAACAUUUAAAACAUUACGUAACUGGGAGUGAAAAUUGCAAUUAUUUUUCAUGAACGAGGAAUUCCAAGUAAACGUAAGUCAUUAGCUUACAUUGAUUACGUCCCUGCCCUUUGUACACACCGCCCGUCGCUGCCCGGAACUGAGCAAUAUCGAGAGGCAGGAAGAGAUAUAAAAAAUAUUUAUAUUUUUUUAUGUUAAAUCCUUUCAAUCGCUGUUGUUUGAACCGGGCAAAAGUCGUAACAAGGUUUUCGUAGGUGAACCUGCGAAAG
rnacentral:ncRNA from 1 species